GGUGAUGGUUAAGGGGUUAAGAGCACUUGCUGGACAGCCAUGAGGACCUGAGUUCUGAUUCCACCGUCCAAGCUGGGCAUGGUCUUUCACAUUCCAAACACUAGAGCUAUAGGCAUAGGAGGAUCACUGGUUGUCAGACUGGAGUGCGUUUGAUGGUGGUGGUGGUGGGGGCAGGCAGUUAAUUCCAGGGUCACUGAGAAAUUUUGCUGCAAAGGACAGGGUCCUGGAGGAGGGCGCCUGCUCUGGCCUCCAUGAGCUUGUGGGAUAUACACACCUAAACACACGUGAACUCGCACCCCACAUAGUGUAGAACUAGAGUUUCAUAAAGGUUGCUCAUUGUCAGAGUCCGGAUGUGCAGGGCCGGACGUGCCUGAGGGAGAGCCAGAGAUAGGACUUGCCAAACCAGCUAUCAGCCCCAAGGACACUGACCAUCCAUAGCCACCCACUCCCCUUCCUUCACCCCCCUGAGUGAGAUGAGCCACCCUACCUGCCUGCCGAGCUGCUAGAUAACACAUACUCCUUGCUGAUGUCAUUUCGCGCCGAAAGUAACCGUGCACCUUUUGAAUUGACCAAUCAUGUGUAACCACGUGAAUGCCCCUUACCUCCCCUAUAAAAACCCCCGAGUUUGGAAGCUCGGGGUCGAUUCCUCUGUCUCCUGUGUGAGAUAUGUGUCGACCCGGGAUCCCGCUAAGACGUGGGAUCUCGUUAAUAAAGCUACCUCUUGCUGUUACAUCAAGAAUGGCUCCUCGUGAUUCCUGGGGGCACCCCACCCUGCGAUCGGAGCGAGAGACGCGGCUCCCCGUUUUGGGGUACGCUCUUUCAUUUGGGGGCUCGUCCGGGAUCGGAGCGUGACCCCCGGAACCCCGAAUGCCACUUGGAGGUACGUUAGUGUGAGUGCUGGAAAGCGGCCGCUGUGUGUGAGUGUGUGUGAAUUAAGUCCUGUAGUCUGUGUUUUUCGGUACCGGUUUAAGGUCUUAGUGCACUGUCUGGGCAGAUGAAGGAUUCCUGCCCUGUGCACGAGAGUCUUAGUGCACUGUCUGGGCAGAAGAAGGUUUCCUGCCCUGUGCACGGGUGGAAGAAGGAUUCCCGCCCUGUAGAAAGCUAGCUUGAGAGUGCACUGUCUGGGCAGAAGAAGGAUUCCUGCCCUGUGCACGGGUGGAAGAAGGUUCCCCACCCCGAAUAGGCGCCUGUGAGUAGAUGAAGGAUUCCUACUCUGAAUAGUCUUUUUCUUUCUUUUUUCCUUUUUAGAAAGCGCACCGGGGGACGCCCCAAUCGCGCAGGCUCUGGGACGCAUGAGAGACGUUCCACGAGUCAGCCUUUGUUGGGUCCUGGCUCUGGGACGAGUGAGAGACGUUCCACAAGCCGAAUUUUGUCAGGAGGACCCGGCAACGGACAGUCAAAAAGAUCUGACUGUGACUUUGGAGGUCGAGUUCGGCUGCCUAUUUAAGUAUAGGCAUGGACAAGUGUGCUUAGAUGUGUUAGUGUCUGUUGUCUGUAUUCUGUGUUUGGUAUCCCAGAAGCAGCUAAGGUUAAGCUGAAGUUUGGGCCAGGUACUGAAGGUACCAGGCAUCUGUGGAAAUUGGUUAUAGGAUGCUUUGUUUUAGUCUUGCUUGUCUGGUUUGUUUUCUGUGGUAUUGUCUAGUGUCUUUUUUGGCUUUUGUUUCGUGUUUGACUUUGGACUGACGACUGUGUUUGAAAUCUUGUUAUGCUUUGUUCGUCGAAGAGUUUUACUUGGUCCCCUUAAUGCUUAGUGAGUAAGAAACUUAAUCUUAUGGACCCCGCUCUAGUGGCGGUGUGUUGGUUGAUAGCCAAAGUUAAUUUUUUUUUUUGGUUCUUUUUUUUCGGAGCUGGGGACCGAACCCAGGGCCUUGCGCUUCCUAGGUAAGCGCUCUACCACUGAGCUAAAUCCCCAGCCCCCAAAGUUAAUUUUUAAAAUAGUGUUUUAUCUGUGCUUGUGCUCGCAGCACACAGUAGAGGGGAGCGAAAUUAGCUGCGGAGCUGCUGCAGCGAGCAUGGGGACUUCUCAAGUCUCACCCAAUUUUUCUGGCUCUUCAGGAGCUGUUUAAAAGGAAAAGGCUUAAGGUAAAAAGAAACACUAUAGAGAGAUUUCUUAGUGAAUUACUACACCUUGGUUCGCGAUCUCUGGGAAUCUCACGUUGGACAGCUGAGAUAAGCUGGAAAAGGAUUUAAAUUUUGCUUGGGAGCAAAGAAUCUUAAAGGCGGAGUUUCAGCCAGUAUGACACUUAGUGCGUAGCUGCCUAAAAGAUCAGAAAUGCUGUCAACAGGCUAUAAAAAAAAAAAAAAAGGGACAGGCUGUGUUAGAAAUGCUACAGGAGGGCUGGAGAGAGAUGGCUCAGCGGUUAAGAGCACCCGACUGCUCUUCCAGAGGUCAUGAGUUCAAAUCCCAGCAACCACAUGGUGACUCACAACCAUCUGUAAAGAGAUCCGAUGCCCUCUUCUGGUGUAUAUGAAGACAGCUACAGUGUACUUAUAUAUAAUAAAUAAAUAAAUCUUUAGAAAAAAAAGAAAAAAAAAAGAAAUGCUACAGGAAGAAUAAUCUAAAAAGGCUGAGAGCUAGGUGGGGCUAUAAGGAAAACAAGAACAGUAAAGGAAUUUCUGACAUUUGCUCCCAGUAGGAGAGCACUCAUUUAGAGAAGUUCUUUAAGGAAGCCUGCCUUAUCUGCUGUCUUUAUUCCAAGGGAGGAGUCAGUCUCCAGCACUAUUAAUGUUUUCUUUUCCUUGGGCCCUUUAAACCCAGUGAGACAGUUUGGUAAAGGGCUACUACUGAGGUCCUGAUAGCCCCAGGUGAACUGGUUAUCAGCCCCCUGGCAUCUAGCACCCAGGUUCUAACCAUCUCUCCAUCCUUUUGUUACUAGAAGCCUAGUGUCAUUUGGAGGCUGGUUCUCUUGAGAGGCAAAGCCAUGGAGCUGACACUGACAAUGGCCUUUUUGUUCCAAGAAAGGCCUCCUGGUUUAGCUGUGUGACUAAAUGCUGUUUGCCUUCUUCAGUAGACCUCUAUUCUCAAGAUUCUCUUGUUUUCUCACCAUCCCAUUUGAGAUGCUUGUUAGUAACUGUUACAGGUCUUCUUUACCACCGAGGAAAGACGGAAUCCUACUGGAGACCAGAAAAAAUGUUCCAGACAUGGAUAGAAGGCCCUCACUUCUGCCUGCUCUCUUCAGACGCCUGAAGGCUAAAAGACCUACAGGUGAUACAGAAAGAAAUCUGCUCACAGCUGACAGCAGCCUAUGCCCCGGAGACCCAUCAGUUCCAGGUCGGAGAUUGCAGCUACACUGAGCCCAGACACUCGAGCCUCGCUGGAAAGGACCGUACCUGGUGCUGCUGACCACCCUGAGAGCUGUCAAUUCUCAGCCCUCACCAGCCACGUACUAGCUGUUGGGGCUGAGAGCUGGGACCUAGAGGGAAAUUCAGUCAUGUUUGUCCUGGGUUCUAUCAAGAUAGGUGUGGGAUAGGCUUGAUUUCCAUUACAAAUGAUGUAACAUUGCAUAUGUUAGUACUCUUAACACUUCUUGGGACUGUGCCUCAGGGAUCACAGUCUGUAUAAGCUUAGAAGUUCUAAAAGCUAGUCAUGACCUUGGUGGAUAGGCUUGGAUAGUGUCCAGAUUAGAAUCCUCAUGUUAAGACAACAAUACCAAGCUGUUAUGCUAGAUGAAGCUGAGUUCUCCAUGAAGUUCUAGGAUUAGAACUAUUAACAAAAAAAAAAAAAAAAAAAAAAAGAAUUGGGGGAUGUAGAACUAGAGUUUCAUAAAGGUUGCUCAUUGUCAGAGUCCGGAUGUGCAGGGCCGGACGUGCCUGAGGGAGAGCCAGAGAUAGGACUUGCCAAACCAGCUAUCAGCCCCAAGGACACUGACCAUCCAUAGCCACCCCCUCCCCUUCCUUCACCCCCCUGAGUGAGAUGAGCCACCCUACCUGCCUGCCGAGCUGCUAGAUAACACAUACUCCUUGCUGAUGUCAUUUCGCGCCGAAAGUAACCGUGCACCUUUUGAAUUGACCAAUCAUGUGUAACCGCGUGAAUGCCCCUUACCUCCCCUAUAAAAACCCCCGAGUUUGGAAGCUCGGGGUCGAUUCCUCUGUCUCCUGUGUGAGAUAUGUGUCGACCCGGGAUCCCGCUAAGACGUGGGAUCUCGUUAAUAAAGCUACCUCUUGCUGUUACAUCAA